rfam:Nitrosospira sp. 56-18 SCNpilot_expt_300_bf_scaffold_190, whole genome shotgun sequence.
GCCCUGGUAGCUCAGUGGAUAGAGCAACCCCCUCCUAAGGGGUAGGUCACACGUUCGAUUCGUGUUCAGGGCG